rnacentral:rRNA from 1 species
GGUGCAGCAGGCGCGAAAACUUUACAAUGCCGGCAACGGCGAUAAGGGGACCUCGAGUGCCAGGUUACAAAUCUGGCUGUCGUGAUGCCUAAAAAGCAUUGCAUAGCAAGGGCCGGGCAAGACCGGUGCCAGCCGCCGCGGUAACACCGGCGGCUCGAGUGGUAACCGUUAUUAUUGGGUCUAAAGGGUCUGUAGCCGGCCGGAUAAGUCUCUUGAGAAAUCCAGCAGCUCAACUGUUGGGCUUUCAGGAGAUACUGUUCGGCUCGAGGCCGGGAGAGGUGAGAGGUACUUCAGGGGUAGGGGUGAAAUCUUGUAAUCCUUGAAGGACCACCAGUGGCGAAGGCGUCUCACCAGAACGGACCUGACGGCAAGGGACGAAAGCUAGGGGCACGAACCGGAUUAGAUACCCGGGUAGUCCUAGCCGUAAACGAUACUCGCUAGGUGUCGGCCACGGUGCGACCGUUGUCGGUGCCGUAGGGAAGCCGUGAAGCGAGC